AACGAACGCUGGCGGCAUGCCUAACACAUGCAAGUCGAACGAAGCCUUCGGGCUUAGUGGCGCACGGGUGCGUAACGCGUGGGAAUCUGCCCUUAGGUACGGAAUAACUCAGGGAAACUUGUGCUAAUACCGUAUGAUGUCGAGAGACCAAAGAUUUAUCGCCUAGGGAUGAGCCCGCGUAGGAUUAGCUAGUUGUGGGGUAAAGCCUACCAAGGCGACGAUCCUUAGCUGGUCUGAGAGGAUGAUCAGCCACACUGGGACUGAGACACGGCCCAGACUCCUACGGGAGGCAGCAGUGGGAAUAUUGGACAAUGGCGAAAGCCUGAUCCAGCAAUGCCGCGUGAGUGAAGAAGGCCUUC
rnacentral:rRNA from 1 species